rnacentral:lncRNA from 1 species
GGAAAGCACCGGGGGCGGGAGGGGACGGUGGCUGUAACCUGCCUCCUUCUGCGAUCCCUAUAAAUAGGAGGGAGCAGGAGCAGGGUUGCACCUGUGGGACUCCAGCUCUGCAGGAGAGGCAGGCAGGGAGGGACAGACCGAGCCGCUCCUCGCUGCUCUCGCCUCCCUUUGAGCUUCCCAGGGCUUUGCCUGGGUGAAGGCCUGAGGCAUGGGGACCAGAGGAUGGACGCUUUCCACCUUCGUGGGAUGCUGCUUAUGGAUUCUGCAAGGGCUCAGGGCUGCUGCUGCUGUCCCUGUCACCACUGAGGGGCCAUUUACUGCAGGGACAGCUUCUCCCAUCACAGCGGAGAGCGAGGUGCCCAGUGCCCUCCUGUUGGGCACUGUGGAGACGAACACUGCAGCGAUGAGCACCACGGCAGCUGAUGCUGAGAUAGAUGAGAGCAUCCUCAUGGGAAACUCAUCCAGCCCACCCUUCUCUCCCGGGGCUGAGCUGGCAACUUUGGGGACAGCGGCGAGCCAAUCCAACUCUACAGUACCACCUUUGACGAACAUGACCGAGCCUCUUAGCGUGUCUCAGGACAACGAGAGGGGUGCAGCUGCUCUUGCUGCAGCCAUGACUGCUGACACCACCGUCUCACAGGACCCCGCUGUAACCUCAGAUGUGGAGCUUGAUGUAACGGGGACCACUCCCAACGUACCCCUGGGGACCACCCCUCUCUUUGCAGACAUGAAGGAGGACAUCCUUGCAGCUGUCACCAGAGAAGGAGCAGAAGAUCGAGACCUCACCGCUGGGGCCACGUUCCUCCCCACCACCCCUCCGCCGGCAGCCUCCUGGGGGGCACAGCCAUCUGCUGGCAGCCCCGUGGGUGCCAGUGUCACCGUGCUGCACAGCCAAGGGCUGACCACAGCCAUGGGAGCUGUUGAAGAAGGUGUAUCCCUGCCUGUGGGUAUCCAAAGCGAAGCCAGUGCCAACUCCUUCAGCCCCAGGUCUGGUGCCGGGGGGCUGCUCACCACCCAGCAGGAUGGGGCAGUGAGUGGGGCUGUGGGCAUCACCCCAGAGCCAGCGGAAGAAACAGCCCCAGCUACCGAGGAAAGUCCCCUGGCUUCAGAGCCCAGAGAUGCAGGAGAUGCAGUAAAUGGUGCAUUCAGCAUGGCUGGCUCAUCCCACCUGCCACCAGCGAGCCCAACGGUGUGGGGAACACUGGGAAACCCAGGGGAGCCCCCCCUCCUUCCCGACCAGGCAUCUCUGAGCCCAACUGCUUGGCUGGCACCAGUCAGUGGUGGGGACUGGGACGGGCAGGGAGCUCCCAGCAUGUCAUUGGGUGCUCCUGGUUCAUCCGGGUUGCUUGCAGCCAGUGAGGCACCCGCAGUGACAGAGGACAUGGGCAUCUCGCUGCUGGUACCAAGUGUUCCUGCUGAUGUGCAGAGUGACACGAAUCCCCUAGCCCAGGCCACUGAGCUGCCCACAGAGGACAUGGGGGCUGCGGGUCUGGCUGAGUCGUCCCUGCAGCCUGCCCCUUGGCAGAGCCCCGGUGGAGAACAGCCACCUCUGCUUGCUGCUACCCUGCCAUAUCCCAUGGACACUUCCAGUGCUCCUGGGGCUGCUUACCCACCCCCGGGGGCUGGCACCCUGUCUGCAGCUGACGGUGGGGUAGAGACACCAGGAAGUCCUGACUUUGGUGCUGUCCCAGGAGCACCCAUGUCUCCAUCCCUUGGAGGAUCACAGCCAUGGGACACAGAAGCUGGUGCUCCCCAGGGAGCCGAUGGAGCUGGCACUGGCUUGAAUUCACCUUUGGAUGCCUCCAACCCAGUGUCUUUUGUACCUGAUGGACUGGCUGGACCCACCGCUGGGGUCCUGGUGCAGGGAGCUGAGGGUGCAGACAUGGCACAGGCAGGAGGUCCAGGGAAUGGCAGUCCCUAUUCAGAUACCCCAGCCUUCAGCACCCAGCAGGACCCCACUAGCAUGGGAGAGCUGCCAGCUGGAGGAACAGGGGCUUUGGUGAAUGCUGAACUGUCCCCUUCAUCAGCUCUUGGAGAACAAGCAGGAGCAGGAGCAGCCCUGGGAGAGGUGUCCCUGCCUGGUCCUGCAUUUCCCAGCAGUACUGGGCUGGAGUCCAACCUCUCAGGGGCUGAAGGACCAGAGAACCUGCCCGGUGAAUUCCUCAGUGCUCCUGGGGCUGCUUACCCACCCCCAGGGGCUGUGCCCGUCCCAGUGUCUGGAGCAGAGACACCAGUGAACCCCGACCUCGGUGCUGCCCAGGGAGCACCCAUGUUUCCAUCCCUCGGAGGGUCCCAGUCAUGGGGGACAGCAGCUGGUGCUCCUCAAGGAGCAGGUCUCCCUGAAGCCAACGUACCAGGCUCUGGCUUGACUUCGGCGUGGGAUGCCUCCAGCUCAGCAGCUUAUGGACCAGCAGAACCCCCAUCACCUGGCCUUGGGGUCCAGCCUGGCACAAAUGUGGGACUACCAGCAGCGGAGGGACAUGGAUCUGGCACAGUGGAGCAGGCACUGGGAGGAGCAGAAAGUGGGACUGGGUUUGAGCCAUCCCUGAUCUCCACUGCAGGCGGCGGGACGGCAGCUGGGAUGGAUCAACUGCCUGGUGCAGUUUCCUCAUCUGGUCCUGCCUCUCCCAGUGGUGUGGUGGCAGCACCCUCUGUUUCAGAGGGUGAUGGAACAGGAUCCAUCCCAGCUGCAGCCCCUGGCCCUGACAGCCUGUCCCUGGCCUCCCCGGACAGUGAAACUGGCCCUGAGCUCAGUCUGGUGCAGGGGGCUGCAAGCACAGGAGAUGUGGCACAGACAGGAAACCCAGAAGAAACAGGGGCUUUGGUGAAUGCUGAACUGUCCCCUUCAUCAGCUCUUGGAGAACAAGCAGGAGCAGGAGCAGCCCUGGGAGAGGCGUCCCUGCCUGGUCCUGCAUUUCCCAGCAGUACUGGGCUGGAGUCCAACCUCUCAGGGGCUGAAGGACCAGAGAACCUGCCCGGUGAAUUCCUCAGUGCUCCUGGGGCUGCUUACCCACCCCCAGGGGCUGUGCCCGUCCCAGUGUCUGGAGCAGAGACACCAGUGAACCCCGACCUCGGUGCUGCCCAGGGAGCACCCAUGUUUCCAUCCCUCGGAGGGUCCCAGUCAUGGGGGACAGCAGCUGGUGCUCCUCAAGGAGCAGGUCUCCCUGAAGCCAACGUACCAGGCUCUGGCUUGACUUCGGCGUGGGAUGCCUCCAGCUCAGCAGCUUAUGGACCAGCAGAACCCCCAUCACCUGGCCUUGGGGUCCAGCCUGGCACAAAUGUGGGACUACCAGCAGCGGAGGGACAUGGAUCUGGCACAGUGGAGCAGGCACUGGGAGGAGCAGAAAGUGGGACUGGGUUUGAGCCAUCCCUGAUCUCCACUGCAGGCGGCGGGACGGCAGCUGGGAUGGAUCAACUGCCUGGUGCAGUUUCCUCAUCUGGUCCUGCCUCUCCCAGUGGUGUGGUGGCAGCAUCUUCCAUUUCGGAUCCAGCCAGCCCAAGUGCCAUUGGAGGAAUGGCAAGUGCUUCUGGAGCUCUGCAGCCUUCCCUAGGUGCUGGGCCUGGGGUUCCUCUUGCUGCAGGAGAAGGGGCAGGUGAAGCAGGUGGUGACGGAGCGUCCCUGGGUCAGUCCCAGGCUGCUGCUGGAGAGGGACAGGCUGGUUCCAGUGGGACAAGUGUCCCUGCCUGGUCCUGCAUUUCCCAGCGCUGCUUGGCUGGAGCCCAACCUCUCAGGGGCUGAAGGACAAGGGAACCUGCCCGGUGAAUUCCUCAGUGCUCCUGGGGCUGCUUACCCACCCCCAGGGGCUGUGCCCGUCCCAGUGUCUGGAGCAGAGACACCAGUGAACCCCGACCUCG